AAUUAUUUAUUGCAAGAUUAUUUACAUCUACUAUUGGUAUUAAACCACAGGCAAUCAUGAUACUGUAUAACCUCUAUUUGUGAGCAUGUUUAUUAAAUUAAUCUUUUCGAACAUUAACAACAGGCAACUUCUAUCUAGAACAUACCAACAUUAGAUGUUUAGUGAUACACAUAUUGAAGUUCUGACUACAAAUUAAAUCCAACAUUGUUUAUGUUUUUCCAAAAUCAGACGAGUACCAUUUAGGUCAGACACUGACUGCUGAUAAAUACUCCACAUAACUCCACUUCAAAAACAUAUACUACCACUUUAAGAUAUCUAUACUAUCUAAACCUUUUCAUAAUAAUAUGUAAAUUAGAGCAUAUUUUUGGCAUCGUUAAUUUCCUGGACCUUAUCCAACAAAGUUUAGCUCAGAAUAUCUCAGUUUCUGGGACGCUUUAUGUAUUUUGGGGUUUUUUUGUAACCAAUCUUUUAUUCUUGUGCUGCUAGAAUAUUUUGUUGCCUAGAUACACGCUGAUAUAAAUAAAUUUGGCAUGAACAUUCAUAAAGUUUCCUCAACUUUUAAGCAUUUAAAUAGUAAAAUAUUGUGUUUGACUACAUAACUCAACUUUUGCGUUCCAAUUUCUAUAAAUUUUACCCUUAUGCCCAAUAUUUUUAUUAAUGGCGGAGGCUACAUCCUCCAGGCACUUUCCUGCCUGAUGACAGAGUAAAAAUUUUACAGCGUGGUAAACAGAGCAAUGACCUUUGGAACGGCUGAUGUGCUUUGGUCUGUUUUUCCGCUCUGCAGUGACGAUAGCGGACUCUGUUCUCCCGGGGCGAACUGAACGUUUCUGACCCUUAAUCACCGCUCAUCCAUGCUUUUCACACCUCCCUUCUCUUACACGUUCUCACUUCCACCUACCUCCGUCCUCGCGCACACUUUCACAAGGCCUGCAAGCGCGCGCACACGCUCGACCCAGCGUUGCCGUGGCAACCGCAAAGCUUAGCCUCCUCAGCUUCCAGAGAGUACAUGCAAAGUUCGGGCCGCAAAAAGAAAAGAAAAAAAAAGGUUCAGGCGAUGGGAAGCUGCUGAAUUAAAAACCCAACGCUUGAAAACGACUUUGUUGGGGAGCGCCAUUGUUUGCCUCGACGCCGCUUCCCCUUGGCUUGCGUGCCAGACUCAAGUGAACUGCCGCAGCUCCAUUAGGCCAUCUGUGGAGAGUAUCGGGAGUAAACACAAGAACAAUUGCUGUGUAUUCGUAGGACAAACAACACAACCCAGCAAUGCUCAAGUGCGGAGCACAAACAAGCGUGGGCAGUUGCUAUUUUCAUGUGAGAAGGAGAGAGAGAGAGAGGAAAAAAAUCUUUUAAAUACCAGAAACAUGAAUCCAAAUGGAAGAGCCUGCACUGGAAAACCCAAAGCUGUCAUUAUAUUGUUGUUAUGAACUAAGACGAAUGUAGCGCAGCGGGGGAUUCUGCUUUUAAGAUUCAUUCAAUAAACAUAAUUGCAUUGAAAUUA